UGAGGAAUAUUGGGCAAUGCCCGCAAGGGUGACCCAGCAACGCCGCGUGGAGGAUGAAUGUCGUAAGAUUGUAAACUCCUGUUAGAGGGGAAGAAUAGUACCGGUUGGACCGGUAUAUGACUGUACCCUCAGAGAAAGCCCCGGCUAACUACGUGCCAGCAGCCGCGGUAAUACGUAGGGGGCAAGCGUUGUCCGGAUUUACUGGGUGUAAAGGGCGCGCAGGCGGGAUAAAAAGUCAGUGGUGAAAUCCUACGGCUUAACUGUAGAACUGCCUUUGAUACUUUUAUUCUUGAGUACAGUUGAGGUAGGCGGAAUGUGUCAUGUAGCGGUGAAAUGCUUAGAUAUGACACAGAACACCGAUUGCGAAGGCAGCUUGCUAAGCUGUAACUGACGCUGAGGCACGAAAGCGUGGGGAGCAAACA
rnacentral:rRNA from 1 species